rnacentral:misc_RNA from 1 species
AAGUCGUAACAAGGUUUCCGUAGGUGAACCUGCGGAAGGAUCAUUAAUAAUCCAUAUAAAUUUGAUUCCCCUUUCUUGAGCUUUAUAGUAAGUGAUAGGAAGGGCGAUAAAAACAAUAUAUAUUGCAGGGGGGAGAAAAGAGUAGAGUAUUUAUAAUACUUGGUAUUUUCUCCCCCAAAGGUGAUAAAGCCUAUAUCUAAAAUCUAUGUAUAGCCCUGAAUAUAUAUAUAAUAUAUAUAUAUAUAUGUAUGUAUAUAUAUAGGAGGGGGGUUCAAUGCACAGAGGAUAGAAAUUUUACAAUAUGUAAAAAUAGAUACAACUUUUAACAAUGGAUCUCUUGGCUCUU